AAGGCUGUCGAGGUGCCACGGGUGAUGAGCGUUGCCGCCCUCGAGUCUCCAAGGGGUCGCAGGUUCAAAUCCUGUCAGCC
rnacentral:tRNA from 1 species